GCCUCCGUGGAUCAGCGGUAGAUCACCUCAGCUUAUUGGUGAUAAAUAGAUAUGAUUCUGAGGAGACGUGGGUUCGAAUCCCACCAGAGGCA